GACGAACGCUGGCGGCGUGCUUAACACAUGCAAGUCGAACGGAAAGGCCCUGCUUUUGUGGGGUGCUCGAGUGGCGAACGGGUGAGUAACACGUGAGUAACCUGCCCUUGACUUUGGGAUAACUUCAGGAAACUGGGGCUAAUACCGGAUAGGAGCUCCUGCUGCAUGGUGGGGGUUGGAAAGUUUCGGCGGUUGGGGAUGGACUCGCGGCUUAUCAGCUUGUUGGUGGGGUAGUGGCUUACCAAGGCUUUGACGGGUAGCCGGCCUGAGAGGGUGACCGGCCACAUUGGGACUGAGAUACGGCCCAGACUCCUACGGGAGGCAGAAGUGGGGAAUAUUGCACAAUGGGCGGAAGCCUGAUGCAGCAACGCCGCGUGCGGGAUGACGGCCUUCGGGUUGUAAACCGCUUUCGCCUGUGACGAAGCGUGAGUGACGGUAAUGGGUAAAGAAGCACCGGAUAACUACGUG
rnacentral:rRNA from 1 species